UAGCGAAAUGCGAUACUUGGUGUGAAUUGCAGAAUCCCGUGAACCAUCGAGUCUUUGAACGCAAGUUGCGCCCCAAGCCGUCAGGCCGAGGGCACGCCUGCCUGGGCGUCACGCAACGUCGCCCCCACCACCMCGUGCUGGGGGCGGAUACUGGCCUCCCGUGCGUGC
rnacentral:rRNA from 1 species